UAUCGCGCGAGUGACAGGAAAUCACCCGACUUUUACCGGUCCUGUUAGCGGAGUAUCUAUGCGAUAAGGACUCGGUUCAAUACAUUGGAUUCCUAGUAUCCAUGCAUCUAGGGUUUCAUUACAACUCCUGGACGUAAUGCAUAAGUAUACAUAAGUAGUUAAAGAUUGCAAUGUAAAUAAAGUAGUGGGAUAUGUCCGGGGCUUGCCUUUACUGGUGGGGCUGAAGUCAGGGAUGUUAGUAUUGUUAUCUUCCGAACUUUGGUUCGGGGCUUCCGAUAAUCCCUUGGUGACGUUCACUUGAUCUUCAGGAAAGUCCUCCGC
rnacentral:lncRNA from 1 species